UUCCUACGGGGCGCAGCAGUAGGGAAUCUUCCACAAUGGACGAAAGUCUGAUGGAGCAACGCCGCGUGAGUGAAGAAGGGUUUCGGCUCGUAAAGCUCUGUUGGUAGUGAAGAAAGAUAGAGGUAGUAACUGGCCUUUAUUUGACGGUAAUUACUUAGAAAGUCACGGCUAACUACGUGCCAGCAGCCGCGGGAAUACGUAGGUGGCAAGCGGUGUCCGGAUUUAUUGGGCGUAAAGCGAGUGCAGGCGGG
rnacentral:rRNA from 1 species